rnacentral:lncRNA from 1 species
GCUUGGGGUUUCCUGAAGAGUCUGGCAUUUCAGUGGAUGUAUUUGUCUUGGGCGUCUUCCUCUGUUAGACUUUUAUGUACCGUAAGGUCAAAGACCAUGUCUUACUCACUUUUGUAUUCUCCUUGGCCUCACGAGGGCUGGCCAGGUGGCACUUGCUGUGGACAGACAGCCUGGGUAUCCUCCAAAAGCGUUUUAAACGCAAAGGCUCAGGCCCUGCCCAGGCUUGCUGAAUCCGGAUGCCCCCUGUCCCUGUAGCCAUUUCCUGGGGGCGAUUCACAAGCACACCCUUGUGUGGGAAUCAUUGAUUUUCUCAGGGCCUCACAACAUUCGUGCUGAAUGAACUAAUGAAUGAAUGAAGGCAGCUGGCCUUUCUUCUCCCAAGGAAUGCAACUGGGUUGCUUUCAUCUACACUCUCCCAGGUCUCCUAGAUGCCAAAGACACACAUUUGCCGCGGGGCUGAUAUCAGACGUGCCAUUUGAGAGAACGGGGUGUUCUGAGUCUUUUCUUCUUCCUGCAUCAGAUGAAGGAGGACAACGAGGUGAGAGGUGGGGGAGUCGCCGAGCCUGCAAACUCAACCUACAUUUUUAUGCUCCUUCCACUUAG